rnacentral:rRNA from 1 species
GGGAGCAAACAGGAUUAGAUACCCUGGUAGUCCACGCUGUAAACGAUGUCGAUUUGAAGGUUGUUCCCUUGAGGAGUGGCUUUCGGAGCUAACGCGUUAAAUCGACCGCCUGGGGAGUACGGCCGCAAGGUUAAAACUCAAAUGAAUUGACGGGGGCCCGCACAAGCGGUGGAGCAUGUGGUUUAAUUCGAUGCAACGCGAAGAACCUUACCUACUCUUGACAUCCAGAGAAUUUAGCAGAGAUGCUUUAGUGCCUUCGGGAACUCUGAGACAGGUGCUGCAUGGCUGUCGUCAGCUCGUGUUGUGAAAUGUUGGGUUAAGUCCCGCAACGAGCGCAACCCUUAUCCUUUGUUGCCAGCACGUAAUGGUGGGAACUCAAAGGAGACUGCCGGUGGUAAACCGGAGGAAGGUGGGGAUGACGUCAAGUCAUCAUGGCCCUUACGAGUAGGGCUACACACGUGCUACAAUGGCGUAUACAAAGAGAAGCGAACUUGCGAGAGUAAGCGGAACUCAUAAAGUACGUCGUAGUCCGGAUUGGAGUCUGCAACUCGACUCCAUGAAGUCGGAAUCGCUAGUAAUCGUAGAUCAGAAUGCUACGGUGAAUACGUUCCCGGGCCUUGUACACACCGCCCGUCACACCAUGGGAGUGGGUUGCAAAAGAAGUAGGUAGCUUAACCUUCGGGAGGGCGCUUACCACUUUGUGAUUCAUGACUGGGGUGAAGUCGUAACAAGGUAACCA